AGUGAACGCUGGCGGUAGGCCUAACACAUGCAAGUCGAACGGCAGCACAGUAAGAGCUUGCUCUUACGGGUGACGAGUGGCGGACGGGUGAGGAAUACAUCGGAAUCUACUUUUUCGUGGGGGAUAACGUAGGGAAACUUACGCUAAUACCGCAUACGACCUACGGGUGAAAGCAGGGGAUCUUCGGACCUUGCGCGAUUGAAUGAGCCGAUGUCGGAUUAGCUAGUUGGCGGGGUAAAGGCCCACCAAGGCGACGAUCCGUAGCUGGUCUGAGAGGCUGAUCAGCCACACUGGAACUGAGACACGGUCCAGACUCCUACGGGAGGCACCAGUGGGGAAUAUUGGACAAUGGGCGCAAGCCUGAUCCAGCCAUACCGCGUGGGUUAAGAAGGCCUUCGGGUUGUAAAGCCCUUUUGUUGGGAAAGAAAAGCAGCAGGUUAAUACCCCGCUGUUCUGACGGUACCCAAAGAAUAAGCACCGGCUAACUUCGUG
rnacentral:rRNA from 1 species